AAUCUUUUUAUGGAAUCAAGUCCUUAUAAGUUAUAAGUACAUGUGUUGUUGUUCUGUGUGCAAUGACAUUGCACAUAGAGCAUACUGGGAAACCCGUCGGUGAUGAUUUCAUCAAUCGUUCAUAAUUGUAUACCACCAAGCGUUUGCCCACAACACACAUGACUUAUUAGCAGCAAUCAUGUGUGUUAUUAUCAGUCUUCACACACAUUUCUGAUUAUAGACAUUUUUGCCGCGUAUGACACACAUCUUGUUAUAUUGAACCGUUUCUGUUCUCUUGGCUCAAAGCAAACAGUUUAUCCGAUUGAACCGCAUGACAUAUAUUGCACACACCUUGAUCUGGCUGACCGUUUCUUUUGUGUUGCCUAAUCACAAACAGUUCAUCCGAGUGAACCGUAUGUUGUAUAUCACACACACCUUCAUCUGGCUUCCCGUUUCUUUUGUUCCUCAUCAUCGCAAACAGUUAAUUGAACUGAACUGUAUGCCCUGCAUCGCACACGCAACCAAAAUCUGAACCGUGUUUGAUGCAUCCUCCAUCACAAACUUUUUGCACCUUUUUGACGGGUUUUUUACACCACCGUUUGUGAUUAUUGCAUCGCACAUAGUUUCGACGAAGGGUCUCUAAUCAUAGUGUCGCAUUAGGAGUAUCCUGUAGUAGUGUCACUUCCUUCGGGGAAAAUUGGGGCUCAGAUCAAAAAAUAAACAAGGUUCAAAUUGCAAGUUCAAGACAAGAAAAAUAAAAGUCCCAGCAAAGUGUGGAAUAAUGAGAGGAUUACCUGUCAGUACUUGUUGUGUGUGGGGGGGGGGGCACUCCCUCCCAAGGAAGCUUGUGUUGUCGGUGCACUACCUUCAACUAAUCUCACGGGCGAGGUGGUACCGGCGCAAAUAGGAUCGUCGAUGGAGGCCCUUGUCGGGGUGGCACUCUCUGGGGCGAUGGUUGACGGGGACCGCAUGACAGGAUCCGUCUCUUGGUGCUCCUCUUGUUGGUGGGCCUCUCCCAACUCAUUGUCAGAUUCAAGAGAAGGGACCUCGGUGCUAGCACCAGAUGGAGGGACAGGCGGUGCGACCCCAUGCACGGGGCUGGUGACCGUGGCAUCGGCCACUGGUGAAACUUACCUGGCACCUGUCGGGGAGCUUCGCCCCUCCAAUGUCUUAGCGUGUUUCACCCGCUGCACUAGUGGUUUUGCAUCCUUGUAAGACAAGAAAAGUCAGAACAGGAUAACAGUUGAGCAAGUCAAAGCUUGAUUAAUAAAAAAAGAUAAAGAUUUGAUUACUAUUCAACAGAUUCAAGAAGGUCGUUCAUGUUAUAUUGAGGAGGUGGGGGAGUCUCCCUGGCCCUCUUGAUGGCUGGCAGUGGCGAGCUUGGCGAACGGGAAGCCUCACCCUCCCCAGUAAGCUCUUGCUGAGAGGAUGGGGGCUUGAGCUUGACAUGUGUACUGGUUGCCGGCGUACUGCCUCCUGACACCCCGUCUUGGUGGUUGAUUUCCUCACCGCGGGAUCAGAUCAGGGCGGGGGAGUGCCCGCAGACUCUUGUAUACCCCUGCUUCGAAGGUGGCACGGCAGCUCGAAGACUUGGGGUUCCUCCCCUUCGGGCUUCCUGGUAAUCUCUGCCCUAGCAACUUUGCCUACGCCAAGCUCCUCCUGCCUCUCCUCGGCAAGCUCUUCCUCAUCAGCAUCAUCUUCUUCUUCGUCGUCAUCAUCAUCCUCGGUGCCCUCAGGAGCGCCUGCAGCCCUUGCAGCUUCUAGCCUCCGGGCCUCUGCGACCCUACUAGCAAUGUAUGCCUCCUCCUCCACCGUGGUGGCUUUGACGAGAUUGCUCUCUUCUCGCUCAGCCACCUCCGUCAAUUCAGAGGCCCAUUUCAUCUCAUAUGCCAGCUUGGGCAAUUUCCAGCUUCCCUUGACCCCCUUGGUGGAGCACUCUAGCAUCCAUGCCAAGAUGGCGCUCCUCUCUGAGUUGAGGUGCAGUGGCACAACUGUGUUGGGCAGGUGGAACGUGAGCACAAAACACAAGCUCCCACACAGUGAGCUCAUGCGCGCGCGCACACACACACUAAACACCAGACCCAGCACGCACACCCCAGGACAUGAUGCUCUUUUAUUUGUUUUUGGGUCCUCCUUGAACUUCUGAAUGUCGUUUUGCAAGCUUGAGGCCAUCAGGUUUCAGUGCCCGGACAUUUAGUUAUCUGAGCUCUCAAGAAUACUACUCCGGUUAUAACGGAACUUCUCUCAUUCAUCCGUGCAUUAUUUUGCAGAACAUUUUUUGCGCCGGCUAGGGACUACGGCGUGCGGCCCUAGCAGCAGUAGGCCAUGGUGGUGCAUGCUGGCAUGACACGUCGCAGCGGCGUGUGUUGACGGCCAGGUGACCAGACCAGGUGCGGUUGCGGUUCGGUGGAUGGACAGGUCCCUGCAUGGUUCCUUGCCAGUAACAAAACAGCCUGCAUGACCGCUUGCCACCAGAGAAAACUUCUUCUUACUAAUGUCAAAUUAAUUGAUAUGCAAAACAAAACAUUGCCAAAAUAGCAUAGCUACAGAGGUGAUAAAAUCACUUCAGAAAAUAUCACAAUUGUACCAUAAAGCUGCGUCAAGUGUAUUUUCUUAAAAGCUUGAGCUAUUGGAACUCGUGGAUGAGGUUGUGGUGUCUUCUCUGAAGCAAAGCAAAAAAUAGCCUGAAACUAGCACACAUACAAGCAACUUGAUUGAUGAACAGUAUCACAUGCGUGUACUGCUAGCAAGCCAAGAAAUCGAUUAAGCUACUUGGCUGCUUGUUUAAGGCUGGCCUUUGCACAAACUCGUUGCUCCAUGGUGGUUUGAGCAAGUGUUCCAAAAUCAACACUCGCGUAGGCGGAGCCCGUGGAGCCAACUUUCCGGAGCUAAAGUAGUCGGAGCAGUCCGUGUUGGCGACUGGGUGCAGUCCGUGCCGGCGGCCGGGUGCACAGCGGUGAGCAGGAGGGAGGUUGGGCACAUCUUUAGGGCGGAGGAGGUGAUGCUGGGGCGGCGAGCUGGGGAGUUUUGGCGGAGAUCCUCGGAUGGCUGGAGUUUGGGCGCUGAAGCGGUGAACAUCCGAGAGCUCUAUGGUGGAACGGCCUGAGCUGGUCGUGGUGAACGGCCUGAGCGCCACGGUGAUGGGUGUGUCCCCACAAGGGAGGAGGCUCCGUGAGGAGGUGGGGUAGCGAGGUUGCUCACCUUUAGUCGGGGACCCCGGUGGCGGCCGGCGGGAUCAGAGGUAGGAGACGGUGCCUGGGAUGCACGGCUUGCUCGUCUUCACUCGGGGACCCCUGCGGCGGAGGUCGCGAUCCAAAGACAGGAGGCGUCGCCCGGGAUCCACGGCCGACGGCGGCGCACAGGACCAAGGUGGAUCGGGGCAGAGGUGGUGUUCCAUGGCGGCGGUUAGAAGAAGGUGGGGCGAUUGUGGGAGCCUAGUGUGGCGGCGGGAGGAAGGUGGUGGGUUGUGGCGAGGAAGGAUGUUGUGGCCCCGCGGGGUGGGCGGUGGGCGGCGGGGUUGGCCGGGGGGCUUGGGUGGGUUGUGGGGAAGGUGGGCGACGGGGAUAAGGUAUGGUUUGUUUUUC
rnacentral:lncRNA from 1 species